CAGUAGCCACGGGAAUACGGAGGGAGCUAGCGUUGUUCGGAAUUACUGGGCGUAAAGCGCACGUAGGCGGCUUUGUAAGUUAGAGGUGAAAGCCUGGAGCUCAACUCCAGAACUGCCUUUAAGACUGCAUCGCUUGAAUCCAGGAGAGGUGAGUGGAAUUCCGAGUGUAGAGGUGAAAUUCGUAGAUAUUCGGAAGAACACCAGUGGCGAAGGCGGCUCACUGGACUGGUAUUGACGCUGAGGUGCGAAAGCGUGGGGAGCAAACAGGAUUAGAGACCCCUGUAGUCCCUGUCUCUUAUAC
rnacentral:rRNA from 1 species